rnacentral:rRNA from 1 species
GCUCAGAACGAACGCUGGCGGCAGGCUUAACACAUGCAAGUCGAACGCCCCGCAAGGGGAGUGGCAGACGGGUGAGUAACGCGUGGGAAUCUACCGUGCCCUGCGGAAUAGCUCCGGGAAACUGGAAUUAAUACCGCAUACGCCCUACGGGGGAAAGAUUUAUCGGGGUAUGAUGAGCCCGCGUUGGAUUAGCUAGUUGGUGGGGUAAAGGCCUACCAAGGCGACGAUCCAUAGCUGGUCUGAGAGGAUGAUCAGCCACAUUGGGACUGAGACACGGCCCAAACUCCUACGGGAGGCAGCAGUGGGGAAUAUUGGACAAUGGGCGCAAGCCUGAUCCAGCCAUGCCGCGUGAGUGAUGAAGGCCUUAGGGUUGUAAAGCUCUUUCACCGGAGAAGAUAAUGACGGUAUC